CCACUUCCUUGGUUUGUUUUUGUUUUUGACACAAGGUUUGGGUCUACUUAUGUGAUCCCUGACUCACCUUGACCUCACUCUAGCUCAGGUUGGCUUCACACUCAUGAUCCCCCUGCCUCAGCCUCUUGAAUGCUGAGAUUACAGCAUGCACCAGCAUGUCAGUCUUCUGCAUGGAUCUUCAUGGGAAAGGAACCCUUCCAACAGUAAGCACUACCACAGACCUGCACCCUAAACCAAAGCAAGCUUUGCACGGGGCCCAAGGACACUUGAUGAAUGUUCCCUACCUUCUAAGGGUGACAUUAGAUCUUCCCAGAGAAUGUUUCUUAAUGUCACCAGCUGUGUCAUAUUCCAGGCGGGGUCAUUAGUCAUUCCCGGUGCCACUGUGCUAUAUACAUCACUCAAGACUAAGCUGUUUCUAUGUUCCUCAGAACUCCAAGCUUAAGGACAAGAAUCAUGGUUCCAUCUCCGCCUUCAACGCAGACUCAAGCAGACGGUGACACGGGAUUUCUAGCGAGGUUUCCUAGGGAUGCAGGCUCGCAGAGGAUGCGAGACGAGGGGCCAUUCUGGUUGAUUUGGAGUCUCUGUGAGGGAAGGAGAAGGAACACCAAGGAGCCAUGCCUUCUCAAGAGUCAUCUAGCUAGAAGCCAGGGGACCAGGAUGCUGCCGGUGAAUCCCAGGUACCCAUCUGCAAAGUCGGACCAUUGUGGAGAAUAACGGGGCCUCUGAAAGCCCCUGCAAGCCCAUGCCUUCGGAAUUAAACCACUCUGAAAACCCCUUUAAUCUAUAUUGCCUCGUCCUU